GCAUCUGGAUCUUUCCCACUCCUUGUAGUACAGUGCUGGACUGGGGACACACGAUGCAACAGGAAAGCAGAGGAAAUCCAGACAAGCUCCCUUUCACCACAGUGGGACUUGUCUCUACGCCUUUGCAACAUUU
rfam:Leptosomus discolor contig86179, whole genome shotgun sequence.